UAAAGUAAUGGUGUCAUGUCCUCCAUUGUGACACGUCCCCCUGCUGAGUGACUUGGCUGAGCACUUUGGGAAGAGCAACCAUUUGAGGAUAGCUAGUCCAGGCAAGAGGAGCUAGUUUGUGACAAAACAAAUAAGUUUUCCAGUGCAUUGAAGAGAUUCUUUUCAUCUCAAGUGUAAAGUUCAGCGGCAGAACUGGCAUCUCCAUAGUCCAAGGUUCAGGAGAGUGACGGACUUUCAUCAUGAUAUCUGGAUGUUUUAAAGCCAUGCGUGGGGAGUCGUAGACCCUUGCAGCCAAGCCGCAACAGAAAACUUCCUGCUUUAUCCAACCCGUUAUAUGUGUGACUUGCCAUGUAGGUCACAGCUAAGACAGAAAAGGGAAGGGAAGAGGCACAUGAGCUCCCCAUCUCAGUGGGCGGGAAGGCAGUGAGUAUCCUCAGAGUACAACAUUUGACUCCUGAUGUUUUGAUUGAAGCAACAUAUUCUAGAAAGAUGACGCACCAUCCAAACUCAAAAUAUGUUUUAUCCUCUUCAGUAUCUUUUUGCAAUGGUUACAUAAUAAAGUCAAGUCAAUC